ACUCAACGUUAUACAUUUAUAAAGGAUGAGUCUUUCAUGUGAAAGCGAGCCCGCUUGACGGGAUACUUGAGCAUGAAGUUAGUCCUAAACCUGUUUUAUUGGAGUUU
rnacentral:sRNA from 1 species